GAGGAGGUGGGUUGAAGGCGGAGCAGUGGUCAUUGACUGUGGAAUCAACCACAUACCAGAUGAGACGAAGGCGAGCGGUAAACGAGUCGUCGGAGACGUCCACUACGCGUCAGCCAAUCAAAGAGCAGGAUUCAUCACACCUGUUCCAGGGGGGGUGGGGCCAAUGACAGUGGCGAUGCUCAUGGAGAACACGGUGCAGAGCGCUCAGCGGUUCCUCCUGAAGAACCAGCCGAGGAGGUGAACCUGCAGAAAACACUGGAAGAGAUCAAUAAAGUGUCAUUUUAUCUUCAGUCUGAUCCAAACCCACCAAGAGAAAGAACAUUCACCGUUCACAGACGCAGAAAAAGAAACAACAAGAGGAUUAUAUUCAACAUGUUACCUGUCAGUCUGAGCUCAGGGUUCACUCUCUUUAUUCUUUGACCUUUAAACUGGACUGCAGCUGUUUGUUCAGGGGUCAGAGGUUGUUGCCGUGGAAACAGAGAUGUAGCAGCUGUUUCCUGCUGGGGGGUGAAGUCAACAUGAAGCGUCCAAAUAUCUGAUCAAUGUAUUGAUUAUUGACAAAAACCUGUUUAAUGAGUUUUUCAUUUGUUGCACAAAUCAUUGAUACAGAAUAAAUAAUAACAAUAAUAAUGUAAACAAUAACAAUAAUAAUGUAAAUAAUAACAAUAAUAAUGUAAAUAAUAUUAAUAAUAUAAUUGAACUUUUAGAUUUCUCUUCGUCUGUCUGUUCUUCUGCAACAUGUGAA